rnacentral:rRNA from 1 species
UACGUAGGGGGCGAGCGUUACCCGGAUUUACUGGGCGUAAAGCGCGUGUAGGCGGCUGGCCAAGCGUGGUGUGAAAUCUUCGGGCUUAACCCGAAAACUGCAUUGCGAACUGGUCUGGCUAGAGUGUGUGAGAGGGUAGUGGAAUUCCCGGUGUAGCGGUGAAAUGCGUAGAUAUCAGGAGGAACACCGGUGGCGAAGGCGGCUUGCUGGGCCUUACCUGACGCUGAGGAGCGAAAGCGUGGGGAGCGAACAGG